rnacentral:lncRNA from 1 species
AUGGGGCAGCGGCGCCGGAGCCGGCAGCGCCGCGGGAGGUUUGAGGCGUUGAGGGAAGGCAAAGCCGAGAGGAGCCGGAGCUUGUGGGGCUGGAGCAGGAGCCGCAGCCGACCCCCCCAUUCCAGUGUUGAGGAUUCACAGCCGCCAACAGCCACAUUGGGGCAAAAAAGCCCCAAAAAGGGUCUGCAGGAACACAUAGGGAGAAAAACUAGCACCAAAAAAGGGGCUCCGUUGAGACGGCCAGAGCCUGGCGUGUCCCUGAGUUGUGACAGAGCCCCUGCACUGCGACAUGUCGCGACAGAACACCCCCCCCCCCCCCGUGACAAUAAACUGCUGAGACUCGACCGGCUGCUCCUGUUGUGUCU